rnacentral:misc_RNA from 1 species
GAUGAAGAACGCAGCGAAAUGCGAAAAGUAAUGUGAAUUGCAGAAUUCAGUGAAUCAUCGAAUCUUUGAACGCACAUUGCGCCCGCUGGUACUCCGGCGGGCACGCCUGUCCGAGCGUCAUUUCAACCCUCAAGCCCUCCUUCGGGAUGGACCUGGUGUUGGGGCUCGGCCGCCAUCUCCGGCGGCCGUCCCCUAAAUACAGUGGCGGUCACGUCGCGACUCCUUUGCGUAGUAGAAACACCUCGCUCCGGAUAGCAACGCGGUCCACGCCGUAAAACCACCAAUUUUCAAUGGUUGACCUCGGAUCAGGUGGGAAUACCCGCUGAACUUAAGCAUAUCAAUAAGCGGAGGA